CUCUCUCUCUCUCUCUCUCUCUCUCGCAGCACAAUCCGUUACACCGCUACCCGGCCUUCUCUCCAGCGUGGUCACCGUCCAACACCAGACUACUCUCUGACAAUAUACUUCGGCCGUGCGUGGUUUUGCUCCGGUAGUGGCCAUGUUCUCAGCUCAGUUUGCUCUCUCUCUCUUUCUCGGAGAGGAUGACGCAGAAUUUACACAGUGAUCCUACCACCACGCAGAGCGUCUCAGUAGACACAGUGUGUUAGGCACCGAACGACGAGUACGAACAGGCGUUGGGGAGGCCUGAGUACGCGAAGAGGGUUCGGCAAGUUGGCCCGAACGUUACUCCUGUUCUUGGGACAUGUUUCUCGUAUCGGGCUCGCUCACAAGGGGGAGCAUCUCAAGGCACAUCUCGGGACUGGGCGUACAUGACAGGAGGAUGGCGACGAUGGAGACGUUGCUACAGGCUGAGAGAGAGAGAGAGAGAGAGAGAGAGAGAGAGAGAGAGAGAGAGAGAGGAAUGACGCCUUGGAGCAACACCUGUGCAACUCGAGGUCGUCCUCACCUCUAUGGGAGUAUCACAUGGGUGUCCAGGUGCUCAGUGGUCUCCACCUGCAAACCAAGGUAGUACGUCGUUUGUUAGUAGUGCAUCUGCAGGUAAUACGACAACGAUUGGUCCGUUCUCGCCUAUUGGACGACAGCUGAGCCAACACUCCCCCGUCGGGACACCGCUACACCAUCCCUUGCGCAGCAAUCGCCUAUUGGCGAACACACGCCUGGUACAGGAGCUCGUGAUCCUUGAGAUGGUCUUCAGAUUUGUAGAUAUUCUGUGUAAUUUUGUUUUGUUAGUAACGAACACGUUUAUUCGUA